UGUGUCAUCAUCUUCCCUAACGUCAAACCCUUCAGAAAUUCGAAAAGAGAAGAAGAGGAAAAGAUUUUGGAACACAGAUUCAGAAGGAUCUCAUCGGAAAAGUCUAAUAAGGAGAGAUACAUCGUUAUCGUCACUGUCUUCCUACAUCAACCCUCAAUCACGCUUCAAAAAGGCCGAUUUCAGUGUCACAUAGCCCAAAUCCUUCAUCAUCGCUUUGAUUCAACAGUUUCUCUGCAAUUUGUAAAACUAGGUUUCAGUUUUCCCUCUCAAGAUCUAGGAGAGAUCUUCUGUUUUCUACGAAUUCAAAGCAUAAAUUAG